UUCGGGAUGCCGGCGAGUGGCAAACGGGUGAGUAACGCGUGGAUACCUGUCCUAUGGUGGGGAAUAACGUUUAGAAAUGAACGCUAAUACCGCAUAAGCCCUACGGGGGAAAGAUUUAUCGCCAUAGGAGGGGUCUGCGUCGGAUUAGCUAGUUGGUGGGGUAAAGGCCUACCAAGGCGACGAUCCGUAGCUGGUCUGAGAGGAUGAUCAGCCACACUGGGACCGAGACACGGCCCAGACUCCUACGGGAGGCAGCAGUGGGGAAUAUUGCGCAAUGGGGGAAACCCUGACGCAGCGACGCCGCGUGGGUGAAGAAGGCCUUAGGGUUGUAAAGCCCUUUCAGCAGGAAAGAUUAUGACGGUACCUGCAGAAGAAGCUCCGGCUAACUCCGUGCCAGCAGCCGCGGUAAUACGGAGGGAGCUAGCGUUGUUCGGAAUUACUGGGCGUAAAGGGCGCGUAGGCGGUUUUGCAAG
rnacentral:rRNA from 1 species